GCUCCAGUGGCGCAAUCGGUCAGCGCGCGGUACUUAUAAGACAGUGAGCCUGCGGAGUGAUGCCGAGGUUGUGAGUUCGACCCUCACCUGGAAGCA
rnacentral:tRNA from 1 species